GCCCCGGAACGUAAACACGGGCGCCGGCCCGGGCCGCGAGUGCUGCGGUGGGGUCGCGGCGCCUCGCGGGGAGACCCCGGGUGGGGAAGUAGGCUCCUCGCGCUCCCCCUCUUCGUGGCGCAAGGAGACGGGACCUCGAGUAAUGAGGCGACGUGGUUCCGGGACGGGUAGGAGCUGGAGGGUCGUACCCCAAAAGUAAUGGCCAGAGCGCGGCCGCAGGGCCUCAGGACCCCUGUGAAGAGGCGGCUGCUUGGAAGCGGAAGGCUGGGUGCUGAGAGGGCGCCGGCCCCAGAGGACCCCACAGGACAGCACCAUGCACCAAGGAAAGACCAUGGGAGCACACAGCAAGAAGGCAGCUACCUGCAAACCAAGAAGUGGGCCCUCCCCAGACGCCAACUGACCUUGCAGUUCCAGCCUCCACAACCGUGAGAAAUUUCUGCUGUCCAGUCUGUUUCUGCCUCCCAGUCUGUGGUGCUCAGUCACAGCCACCCAAGCUGCCCGAGGCAGGCCAGCCGCAUCAGUAAGAAACACAGCCCUGGGAUCUGGGUGCUGUUCGUUACUGCCCCAUAACCCACAGCCUCCUGACUGGGGCCAAUGCCAAAGCUGCUGCUUGAACCAGGAGGCAAUACUGCCUAAAUACUUCUGUAUGACACAGCAGGCCCUUCCCAACACACUGUGGUCACAAUGAAAGAAACCAAAACACGCAAAAGUAAGAAGAACGCGAAGGAACAGCAAACACCACACCACAAGCACGGGCCCUCCCGCGUCUCCACAAGCAGCACGUGGAAGUCUACUGGAGGAGUUAAUAAGUAAAUAAACCAACCAAUGAAGGAAGGAGAAGAUGUGGGAUCCAGGCCACAGGAGAUCCAGCUCACAAGAAAGAUGGAAUCCCACGGUGAUGAGAAGAAAACUCUCCGCUGAACACUGGAC